GCUUACGGCCAUACCACCCUGGACACGCCAGAACUCGUCUGAUCUCGGAAGCAAAGGAGGGUCGGGCCUGGUCAGUACUUGGACAGGAGACCGCCUGGGACCACCAGGUGCUGUAAGCU
rnacentral:rRNA from 1 species